rnacentral:snRNA from 1 species
GAAAGGGGCGCCAGAGAGG